rnacentral:misc_RNA from 1 species
AAACAACAAGUGGCUGGUUGGGUUCAAACCUACAAGGGAGGGCUCACCUUGGCCAGUGUAAGAGGGGCAGGCCAUCAAGUCCCUAUGUUUGCUCCUCAACAAUCACUCUCGCUUUUUUCUCAUUUCCUUUCUGCUAAGACUUUGCCUUCCACUCGGUCUUAAAUUCUCGAGAGGCAAACCGAAUUUGAUAACCAUUUUGUUUUUAAAAAAGACAUAAGAUUAAUACUCGUUUAAUAAAUUUUUGUUCAUG